rnacentral:rRNA from 1 species
UACGGAGGGAGCUAGCGUUAUUCGGAAUUACUGGGCGUAAAGCGUGCGCAGGCGGUGAUGUAAGACCGAUGUGAAAUCCCCGGGCUUAACCUGGGAACUGCAUUGGUGACUGCAUCGCUCGAGUAUGGCAGAGGGGGGUAGAAUUCCACGUGUAGCAGUGAAAUGCGUAGAGAUGUGGAGGAAUACCGAUGGCGAAGGCAGCCCCCUGGGUCAAUACUGACGCUCAUGCACGAAAGCGUGGGGAGCAAACAGG